AUGGAGCGGCCCGGGGGAGGAGCGGCGGCGCGGCCCCCCGGGGCGAGGAGGCACGCUCCGGGCCGCCCCGCCCGCCGCCCCUCCCCGCGCUGCGGCCACCGCACCCGCCCGCCGCGGGGACACCGAGCGCCUCGCCGGCCGCCUUUGUCAUGGCGGCUGGGCUCCGGAGCCCAGCCCACUUCAGCGCGCCUUAAUCCCGCUCACCUCCGCCCAGCGCCGGGGGCGGCGGCGGAGGAGGAUGCCGCGUCCCCGCCCUGGCAGCGGCCGGACGAGGGGACAGCCCGCGGGGGACGGGGCGCGCGGGGGAGGGGGGGUGGCACGGGGGACACUCCCCUCCUGCCCCGGGGGAGCCGCCGCUGCCGCCCGGACCCCUCGGCCGGGGCGGAGGAGGUUGGGGGGGGGGGCUGGGCGGAGGGGAGGGAAGCGAGCCCGACCGAGGGGCGGCCCCUGCGGCUCUUCCGCGCCCGGGCAGCGCUCCCGGCGGGAGACCACACCCAGCGGCACCCGCCCGCGGCCCGCGCGCCGGGCCCCUGCCCCCGCCCGGCGGAGGCGGCGCCCCCCCCUCCGCGCCCACGGGCGCCGGGUCGCCCCCGCCCGCCGCGCCACGGGCGGGGCCCUCACCUGCCGCCCCCUCCCCCCGCCCCGCCGCCCCCGGCCGCUCUUCCCCUCCCCCUCCCCUCCUCGCCGGCGGGGAGGGGCAGCCGCGGCCUCACCUGCGCGGCCCCCGCCGCCCCCCGCAGCGGCCCCCGCGGGACGGGCCGCUCCCGCCGCCCUGCUCCCUCCCCGCGGAGCCACCCCGCCGGCCCCGGAGGCAGGGGGGCGGGUAGGGAGGGCUCGGCGCUGCCCGCCGGCCGCCCGAUCGGCCGGCCGGCCGGCCGCCCUCGCGCGGCCCCCCCACCCCACCCCACCCCCCCGGGGGCGGAGGGCGAGGUCCCGGGGCGGCCGCCCGGCGCGGGGCCCGGAGGCGGGGCGGCGCGGCGGGCCCCGUUACCUGUGCGCGGCGGGAGCGCGGCGGCGGGUGUCUCGGGGCGGGUGGCCGGCGCGGACUGUGCCUGUCUCGCGGCUCGCUGCGCUGCAGCCUCUCUCCCAGCGCCACACACGGCGUCUCCGCCAAUCACCGCGCCGCAGCGCACGGGCAGCGCACCGCCCGUGACGUCAAGCGGGGCCAUGGCAACGGCGAGGGCGCGAGCACGAGCCCGCGCCUCCCCCGGCGCGCCACAGGGUGGAGGCCUCGCCAACAGCCGCGGGCGCCGGCGGCGCGCGGGCCGGCGGGACACGCCUAGAGGUGGCGGCCCCGCCCGCGGGCGCGCGCCUUCUCCUUCCCCCGCCCCUCCCUGA
rnacentral:lncRNA from 1 species